AUUGAACGCUGGCGGCAUGCUUUACACAUGCAAGUCGAACGGCAGCGCGGGCUUCGGCCUGGCGGCGAGUGGCGAACGGGUGAGUAAUGCAUCGGAACGUGCCCAGUAGUGGGGGAUAGCCCGGCGAAAGCCGGAUUAAUACCGCAUACGAUCUGAGGGUGAAAGCGGGGGACCGAAAGGCCUCGCGCUAUUGGAGCGGCCGAUGUCGGAUUAGCUAGUUGGUGGGGUAAAGGCUUACCAAGGCGACGAUCCGUAGCUGGUCUGAGAGGACGACCAGCCACACUGGGACUGGGACACGGCCCAGACUCCUACGGGAGGCAGCAGUGGGGAAUUUUGGACAAUGGGGGCAACCCUGAUCCAGCCAUGCCGCGUGCGGGAAGAAGGCCUUCGGGUUGUAAACCGCUUUUGUUCGGGAAGAAAUCCUCUGGGCUAAUACCCCGGGGGGAUGACGGUACCGGAAGAAUAAGCACCGGCUAACUACGUG
rnacentral:rRNA from 1 species